rnacentral:lncRNA from 1 species
GUUAUCUUUCAUGUAUUGUGCAUACAAAGGGAUGCAAACUAUAUAGGGCAACUGAGAGUAUUCAGUCUAGCACAAGUUAACUAGGAAAUAAAAAAAGGAAAAAAAACAUAGCAGCUCUAAGUGUUUCUGACCAGAACAAAAGAAAGCAACUAUGAGCUAAUUUAUGUGCAACUCAUGUGUAUUUCCCAAACAACUUAACUGCCGGAAAAAAGCACACAGACAAAAGAAGACAUGAUCUUGUUACCCCCUCCCCUGCCAACUCCUUCGCUCCAUCGUGAUCUUGUCAAUGAUGAAAUAAGCUUCAUGAACACUGAUGGUUUUUUGCUCGAAGUAUAUCCAUGGUACUGGGCCGGCCUAAUGUACCAAACUGAAUAGCGCCGUGUACAAAAAAAUAAGAGCACAAUAGUUGCAGCUUAAAAAUCCAUGGAACAUGACACGCAAUCAAUUCAUAGAAACAAUCAUAUGCGUUCUAUGCUAAUGGCUUAACACAUGGCCUGUGUGGCCUUGUACAGACCACUCACUGUUUUAUGCCAAAAGCUUAACAUCAACUGGAUGUUUUUGUCCUGACGCUCCCAGAAGAGCAACGAAUUUGCCCAAAAGAGCAACGAAUUUGCGCAAAACAAUGCAUCAGUCUAUGCCAAGUAGCAUGCAUCACACACAUAUCCUACCAACACAAGGGGCUCAAUCUCAAUUGCAAGCAGCAGAAUGAGAAUUGGAGGAUGGCAUUACCGUGAGGUGACUUGUCAUUCGCUGCCUGGGUCGAACAGCUCCACGCCAGAGGCUAUCUCACGAAGUUGUCUUUGCUGCUGAUGCGCGUAACAGCGGCGGAGCGACCCUUGGUGCCGGCGGACCACACGGCUGUACCGCGGCCAGCUGACCUGAGCAGAAGGUCGCCCUCCGGCGUGAGCUCCGUUGCGGCCCUUCCUCGACGGGGUUGCGGGGCCGGGGGCCGCUGGGUGGACGGGGGACGGGAGUGCUGCUGCUCCGGCUCCCCGGCCGACCUGAUCGCCGAGCUCCUCCGGUGCACUGCCUCCUCCACGACCGCCAGGUCGUCGACGGCGGCGCUCCUAUGCUUCGCCUGAGCACUGGUCGGACUAAAUGUAGACGAGGAAAAGGGGAUUGGAUUGGGAUAAGGCUUUUUUCUCGAGAAGGAAGAGAGUGAAGCGGUUGGUUUCUAGCGGCCUUGUCGGGUAGCGCGUGCGCUCAGCGCGACCGAAUCGCGCAGCUGCACGAUUAAGCAUUUAGGAUAUAUUUUUAACAAAAGAUAAAAUCAUCUAGCGGGACGAAACCAAGAAGUAGGUAGGUAUAGAUAUAGAUAAAAUAACGAAUUUGAAGGAAACAAAUAACAGAAUUUAAGGAAAAAUCCGCGCAUCUAUAUCU